UCGCUGUGAUGACGAUUUUUCCUGCCAUUCGUAGUUUCCACCAGAGGUCACCACGACCAAAGACGGCAAAACACUUCCUUGGAUGUCUGAGCGA
rnacentral:snoRNA from 1 species